rnacentral:rRNA from 1 species
AACGAACGUUAGCGGCGCGCUUAACACAUGCAAGUCGAGCGAGAAAGGGCUUCGGCCCCGGUCAAGCGGCGCACGGGUGAGUAACACGUAGGUACUCUGCCCUCAGGUGGUGGAUAACUUUACGACAGGACGGCUAAUACAGCAUGACACCACGGUUCCGAACGGGACAGGGGUCAAAGCCGGCCAAUUCAUGAAAGCUGGUGCCAGUGGACGAGCCUGCGGCCCAUCAGCUAGUUGGGAGGGUAAUGACCUACCAAGGCGAAGACGGGUAGCUGGUCGGAGAGGAAGAUCAGCCACACUGGAACUGAGACACGGUCCAGACUCCUACGGGAGGCAGCAGUGGGGAAUCUUGCGCAAUGGGCGAAAGCCUGACGCAGCGACGCCGCGUGAGUGAUGAAGGCCCUCGGGUUGUAAAGCUCUGUGGAGGGGGACGAAUAAGGGUUGGCUAAUAUCCAACUUGAUGACGGUACCCCUUUAGCAAGCACCGGCUAACUCUUUGCCAGCAGCCGCCGUAAGAC